GAUAUUUGGUAAACCUCAAAAGCAACAUAUUUUAAUCCUAUGCUUGGCAUAUUUUUGGAUGAUUUAUCAUAAGAUUUAGUGAAUUUGAUGCUUCUAAUCCUUUAAUUUCAUGUUUUAUAUCCAGAUGAGCAUAGAAAAGUGAAAAGUGCAAAAAAAGAAGGCAAAAAACGAAAAAAAUAGGUUUAUUUCGGUGCUGCACAUGGCCCAGACACUUCCACACGGGUAAUCCACAUGUCCGCGUGAGACACACGGGUAGACCACACGUUCGUGUAUCAUGGCUGUGUCAACUUAAAACCAUAUCAGAAUUGCACACGACUUAAGUACCAUCACACGGGGCGUGCCACACGGCCGUGUCCCUAUCAAGACCUAUUUUAAUUCUACUUGAAAAGGCUAAUUUUGGGCUAUUUUAGGCAUUCUAAAGUCUAUUUAAACACACUAGGAGAGGAUCUAAGGGGGAGACACAGAGUAGAAGGCAGAAAAUACUCGAAGACAACCAUUAGAAUCAGCUCGGAAGCAUGAUUUACUUCAAGACUGAAGAUCUCCAUUCAAUUUCUACCGAAGUUUUUGGGUUUCUUUACGUUUU
rnacentral:lncRNA from 1 species